AAACAGAAAGAGAGAAAAUGGCAGAGAAAGACGACGACGUCACUGGGCAGCCAGAGAUUCCUCCGACAUUCUCUCUUCUUUUAACUUCUCCCGCAGAGAAAAUGAUCCUGAUGAUGUGACUAUCAAAAUUCAAAAUACACUAUUGUGGUGUUUGCCACUUUGAUCUGCAUACUGUGAAGAAUGACUGGGCCGGGGGUUCUCAAUCGUGAAUUAUCAUUCUAAAAGGCUGCUACAGGUACAAUGGAUUACAUUAUUGAUACUAUUGCUGCUGUCCAUCCCUUGGCUCCACUGCUCAGUUUGCUGAAGAUGGAUUAUGGCAAACUCAUGACCCUUGGCCUGCCAGAAAAUCCUCUACAAUUGGCUGUUUUCCCCUUAGUUGCAGUUUUUAGGUAUCUACUUACUCAGUAGAGAGGGUAGUUCAUUCAUAUCUUAUUUAAAUUAUAUAAGGAAGUUCAAAUGAGAACGAGAUCUUCAAAUAAAAAAGUGAUAACUGAUUAUAUGGUUCAUAAAUGAUUUAGGGUUUUAGUAAAGAAAAUAAGUGGUCAUAUUUAUAAUAUUGUACAUUUUAAGUUUACAAUAUUUAUAUAACUUAUGUCGCUCUUUAUCAUCAAUCUUAACCAGUCAACCGUUGAUCUAUUUAAAUUGAUGGAUCAUAUUAGUCUUAUUUUUUACAUGGGAACAUGCUCAGUUCUUGAAAUGUCAUAAUCUAUGAAUUAUGAAAUGUUGAUGUACUACAUGAUUUUACAUUGUCUUGGACCUAAAACAUGACAAUAACCAAUGGAUUAGUUUAGGACAAAAAAAAUCCAUCUGACGUAAAAUGUUUGAGAAGUUUUGAUACAAAAUUUUUUGAGAAGAGUUGUGGAUUGAAGUUUGUUUGGGAGUGCUUUGUGGCAAUGUAGAGUCAUGUUGUGGAUUCGUUGGGGAGAUGA